GACGAACGCUGGCGGCGUGCUUAACACAUGCAAGUCGAACGGAAAGGCCCUGCUUUUGUGGGGUGCUCGAGUGGCGAACGGGUGAGUAACACGUGAGUAACCUGCCCUUGACUUUGAGAUAACUUCAGGAAACUGGGGCUAAUACCGGAUAGGAGCUCCUGCUGCAUGGUGGGGGUUGGAAAGUUUCGGCGGUUGGGGAUGGACUCGCGGCUUAUCAGCUUGUUGGUGGGGUAGUGGCUUACCAAGGCUUUGACGGGUAGCCGGCCUGAGAGGGUGACCGGCCACAUUGGGACUGAGAUACGGCCCAGACUACUACGGGAGGCAGCAGUGGGGAAUAUUGCACAAUGGGCGGAAGCCUGAUGCAGCAACGCCGCGUGCGGGAUGACGGCCUUCGGGUUGUAAACCGCUUUCGCCUGUGACGAAGCGUGAGUGACGGUAAUGGGUAAAGAAGCACCGGCUAACUACGUG
rnacentral:rRNA from 1 species